rnacentral:rRNA from 1 species
ACCAGACUCCUACGGGAGGCAGCAGUGGGGGAUAUUGCACAAUGGGGGAAACCCUGAUGCAGCGACGCCGCGUGAGUGAAGAAGUAUUUCGGUAUGUAAAGCUCUAUCAGCAGGGAAGAAGAAAGACGGUACCUGAGUAAGAAGCCCCGGCUAACUACGUGCCAGCAGCCGCGGUAAUACGUAGGGGGCAAGCGUUAUCCGGAUUUACUGGGUGUAAAGGGAGCGUAGACGGUAUGGCAAGUCUGAAGUGAAAGCCCCGGGCUCAACCUGGGAACUGCUUUGGAAACUGUUAAACUAGAGUGCUGGAGAGGCAGGCGGAAUUCCUAGUGUAGCGGUGAAAUGCGUAGAUAUUAGGAGGAACACCAGUGGCGAAGGCGGCCUGCUGGACAGUAACUGACGUUGAGGCUCGAAAGCGUGGGGAGCAAACAGGAUUAGAUACCCCGGUAA